AUUGAACGCUGGCGGCAUGCCUUACACAUGCAAGUCGAACGGCAGCGGGGAGAAGCUUGCUUUUCCUGCCGGCGAGUGGCGAACGGGUGAGUAAUACAUCGGAACGUGCCCUGUAGUGGGGGAUAACUAGUCGAAAGAUUAGCUAAUACCGCAUACGACCUGAGGGUGAAAGUGGGGGACCGCAAGGCCUCAUGCUAUAGGAGCGGCCGAUGUCUGAUUAGCUAGUUGGUGGGGUAAAGGCCUACCAAGGCGACGAUCAGUAGCUGGUCUGAGGGGACGAUCAGCCACACUGGGACUGAGACACGGCCCAGACUCCUACGGGAGGCAGCAGUGGGGAAUUUUGGAAAAUGGGCGAAAGCCUGAUCCAGCAAUGCCGCGUGUGUGAAGAAGGCCUUCGGGUUGUAAAGCACUUUUGUCCGGAAAGAAAUGGCUCUGGUUAAUACCUGGGGUCGAUGACGGUACCGGAAGAAUAAGGAUCGGCUAACUACGUGCCAGCAGCCGCCGUAAUAC
rnacentral:rRNA from 1 species